UACAGAGGGUGCAAGCGUUAAUCGGAAUUACUGGGCGUAAAGCGUGCGUAGACGGUUAUGUAAGUCAGGUGUGAAAGCCCAGGGCUCAACCUUGGAAUUGCAUUUGAGACUGCAUAGCUAGGGUGCGGAAGAGGGAAGCGGAAUUUCCGGUGUAGCGGUGAAAUGCGUAGAUAUCGGAAGGAACACCAGUGGCGAAGGCGGCACUCUGGGCCGGUACUGACGCUGAGGAGCGAAGGCGUGGGGAGCGAACAGG
rnacentral:rRNA from 1 species